ncrna:Natronorubrum bangense JCM 10635 eL15-Euryarchaeota ribosomal protein leader
CCUGUGCAGCAUUGUGCUACAGGUCGGGAUGUGAUCCGCGGGGCAUGGCCCCGGUCAGGAUUGAACCAGGAA